GAUGAACGCUGGCGGCGCGCCUAACACAUGCAAGUCGAACGAUUAAAGCACCUUCGGGUGUGUAUAAAGUGGCGAACGGCUGUGUCACACGUGGGAAACCUGCUCUUCUCAUUGGGAUAGCCACGGGACACCGUGGAUAAUACCGAAUACUUCGGGCCUUCCGCAUGGAAGACUCGAGAAAGCCACGGCGGAGAGGGAUGGGCCCGCGGCCUGUUAGCUUGUUGGCUGGGUAAUGGCCUACCAAGGCAAUGAUGGGUAGCUGGGUUGAGAGACCGACCAGCCAGAUUGGGACUGAGACGCGGCCCAGACCCCUACGGGAGGCAGCAGAGGGGAAGCGUGCACAGUGGGCGAGAGCCUAAUGCAGCGACGCCGCGUGCGGGAUGAAGAGCUUCAUGUUGGUAUCCGCUUUCAGCAGGGAAGAAGCGAAAAUGACGGUACCUGCAUAAGAAGCCCCGGCUAACUACGUG
rnacentral:rRNA from 1 species